rnacentral:snRNA from 1 species
ACUCAUACCUGGCAGGGGAGGUACCAUUGUUGUAAAAGUGGUUUUCCUGCAGUAAGGCUCAUCUAUUGCACUCUGGAUGUGCUGACCCCUGUGAUUUCCCCAAAUGCGGGAAAAUCAACUGCCAAAGUGGGGGACUAUGUUUGUGGUUUCCCCUG